ensembl:lncRNA
AGCAGUCUUAACCAUCUGUUGAGAGGUGGGAGCUGGGUCUCUGCUAGUCCUCCUUGCUGUCUCAUACUACUGCAGCCUACUUGAAGCUGCCUAAGACAAUUGCUGCUCAUGAACUGUCUAUGAAUGUCAAAUUACAGAACUUCUAUAUGUUUCAAAUAGCAUAUCAUUGAAGUUAAGACAGUGUUUUUCUUGGUAUUCAGUGAGAAUUUAUUGACAGAAAUGAGGAAUGUCAGUAAUGUGAACCAAGGUGCUGUGAUAGACUGACAGCUGGCUAACUGUGCAAAUGGGGAGAAGGAACAUAGAUCAAACUUCCAGUUCUGAAGCUUUUUGCUACAUUUAUAAUCAGUUACAUGUAUUUUCUUGUGCUUUUUUUUUUUUUUCUCAACACCAAAAAAGAUGUUACUAGACAAAUAUAACCAAAGGCAGUUUUGGAGUACAGUUUGAUUCAUUUACUUUCCUCAUUUACUUUUUUUUUUUUUUUUUUAAGAAAUUCCGCAGUGUUUCUUAUAUAACUUUUGUAGGCUGUGGCCUUUAUGACUGGAUGAUAUAAAGGGAAAAAGGCUUGGAACACUGAGCAAGUACAGUGAAGUACAAAACAUACGAAUGCUGAAGAAGCCCCAGAGCUUACGCAGCGAAAAGACUUCCUUGGGUUCAAAAAUGCACAGCUAAACCUAACAGAAUUACAUAUAAAAUUCAUCUGGAGCAUGAGUAUUGACUGGCAGCAGAUGAUCACUAGUACUAUUUACCACAGUUGCACCAGAGCUGUGAUCCCUACCAUCUCUGCUGCAAUGAGAAAGUAAUAACAAAUGUGGAAUGAAGCAUAAAAUACCCAUUCCAUUUAUUGCUCUCCUGCUGUGUACGCCAUGCAAUGGUUUAAUAAGUCAAAAAACCAUAGUAUACUCUUAUGAAGCCAAACACUUAGCAAACUAUUCUUAAAUUUACAGCAAGCUGAUCAGAAAAAAAUGUUUCAUCUUUUUUGUGCUUAUGUGAAACUAGAGAGCAAUACUGAGGGAAUUUACUGAGAGGAGUUAACUAAGAGGAGAAUAUCAUACAAAGCAUUAAUUUAUCUCUGAUCAAAGUAUCUGCCGCUCUAAUUAGCUCAAGCAUUCGAGCUUUUGAAAAUGGAAUUGCUUUUCUUGCUUGGAAUGUGAUAUUUCUUCUAAUACUCUGGUGCCCAAUCAGCAUAGCAAAGAGAAAGGUGAACUGUUAACUGAAAUUAAAGUAAAAUUCAUGUGAAGAGCACAGUCCUCCCAUUACCGCCAUGCUGCCUAAUCUUAGCUGAUCCCAUUUUCCAUUCUGAUUUCUUUCUGUGGACCAGCAUAUUUGUGGUAUAAAUAAUUGUGUUCGUUUAAAAGAAGUAUUGAGAAAUGAUCUAUUUAGGAAGUAUUGCUCUCUCCUGCACUUAAGCUCAUUGUGAGCCACGAAAGCAGCGCUUGGACUGUGGAACUGGAAGCCCACACAGGGUGUCCCCUUUGCAGUCAGUAUGUGUGAACUCCCUGCCUGUUAUUUCCUUGGGAAUUGUAGGAGAGUUCAUGUCCUGUGGAAGUCAAGGGCUGAGUGGUUCAUGAUUGACUGACAGCAGGAAAUUUGUUGGGCUUUAGCUCUGGAUGAACCCAAAGGUGUACACAUCUCAGCCUUAGGAAAAUAGUGCUUGGCUUCAGAAAGCUAGUACUUUGAAGGUUUAGUGCAUUAGCCUAGGGAAAUGUCUUCUGACUCAAGCUCUUCUGAGGAUCUAAAAUAAAGCAGCU